UUCCCCCUAAAAAUGAUCACCUCAGCACACUAUUACUCCCUCAGCUCUGCGCGAAACCCUAAAGCAAUGCCUCCCAAAGCAGCUAAAUGCAAGGUCCCUCCUUCCUUUCUCAAUUUCCUCUGAUCCAAACAAGAAACAACGAACUCGCCUUCAACCUUCUUCUUCAAACUAGUUACGUUUUCUGUUCGUUUACUCAGAAAAUGAUACCACUUUUUUCAACGAGGCAAGUGGGUGUUCCAGAUCCAUCAUCGAAGGUGAAAAUACAUAUUUCCAGGAUUUUAGGCAGUUUUUCUUGGUUGUUUUAUGGGCUUAAAUCAAAGCCGUUUAAGAUCUUCUACUCCGUUUCACUCCAAGCCUUUGUUUCGUAGACAUCUUCAAUCCAUGAAAAAUACGAAAACCAGAAAGCAAGAGCUGAAGGCUUCAGUGCAAUACCUUGCUUCUCGUGCCUGGGACUCAUGCCAUUUUAUUAUUUUAUGCCAUUUUUCAGAAAGUAUUUGGCAUCGUUUGAAGGAAAUGAGGUUUCAGUCACUGUGCAUGAAUGCAGUUUGCUAAAAAGCUUUUCCACUUCAUUGACAAUAGCAAACCUGUAUGUAGUUAUAUGUCCCUGUGAGUACUUCCAGUUCCAGAAAAUCCGCGAUUCUUUUUCUAGUUUUAGGGAAAUAUAGCUAUCUGUACACGACCAAGAUACCAAUCAGUUCCAUAAACUCUGCAUUCUGCUACCCUUGUCCACCAUGGAUAUUUGUUGACAGGUGACCUGUAAUGGAACCAUGAACUUUCUAUAAAGCAUUUUCAUAAUUGCUCGACUUUUCUGUGUCACUUGCAAUGCAAACUAAAGGUCUACAUUAUCAUCACUGAUGGUACUUACCUCUGGAAAAUUCUUCUGUUCACAGAUCAUGAAGAACCGUAUUUCCCAUGGGGACAUAGAAGGAGUUUAAUCAAUUUGCAAUAUGCACAAACAAUAAUCGAAUAUCAAAAAAUUCGAACAUAGAAGAAGUUUAAUCAAUUUGCUUGCAAAAACUCUUCAAGGUCUAUCUCUUUUCAUCUUCUUAAUUAAUUGUUAAUCUUCCCAAUGGUCGCCUACCAAAGAAAACGACGUUUUGCCAAUCAAACUAGGAGGAACGGAGGUAUCAACUAUUUGCAGUUGUGAAACAUUCCGGAUUCAGACCUACUUCUGGACACUAUGUUUGCUACAUUUGAUCCUCUCCUAAUAUGUGGCAUAAGAUGAAUGAUUCAAGGGUUACUUGUGUUGAAGAAGAAGCUGUGCUGUCCCAGGAAGCCUACAUUUUGCUCUAUGCUAAACAGGGUAUACCUUGGUUUUCAACUGCAAUAGAAGUGCAAAAGCCUUGUGUAGACCCUGGAAUUUCUGAUUCUUCACCAAAGUUUGUUCUAAAUGACAUAGACUUUGCCUCCAAUCUUGAGGUGGAAAAGAGUGCCAAUUGUAGUGCCAAUGAAACUAAAGAUGUUGCUGAUAGAGCUUCAACUCAAUUCUCUUGUGAUGUGUUCAACUAGUCAGUCUGUUUCUCAUAUGUAUUAUUUAUUUUAGUUUUGAUUCUAAAUUUUUAUUUUUACUUUAAUAUUUACAACAACUUGAGUUCUAA